rnacentral:tmRNA from 1 species
CCCCUGGUCACGGGCGGCACGGCCCCCUAUAUUGAUCGGUGCCGCCUUCGGGCGACUAUGGUGAUAAACGGCACGUGGAAUAAGCGUUGUGGACCCGGGGGCAGUGCCCGGCGCCUCCACCAUCCCUCCCCGCCUUAUCAACGGGGGUUUCAGGGAAGCAUGGGGGCGAAACAGGCUCGACGCGCGCGGUAAAGACGUGUCCUUUGCCCGGCAUUGUACCGCCGUUAUCGGGCUAAAUCACAAGUGCCAACGAUAAUGGUCGCGAGACCAUGGCGCUCGCUGCCUAGAGAUAGGUAAGCGCCGUCCGGGGGGAACGGGGCAACAGAAUCCCCCCACC